UACGAGUGCUUCGAGCGUUAUCCGAAAUCAUUGGGCGUAAAGGGUGUGUAGGCGGCAUUAUUAGUCUCGCGUAAAAUCUUUCGGCUCAACCGAGAGUCUGCGUGGGAAACGGUAGUGCUAAGAGGAUGGAAGAGGUCUCUGGAACUCAUGGUGUAGCGGUAAAAUGCGUUGAUAUCAUGGGGAACACCAAAAGCGAAGGCAAGAGACUGGUCCACUCCUGACGCUGAAACACGAAAGCGUGGGUCGCGAAUGGG
rnacentral:rRNA from 1 species